rnacentral:rRNA from 1 species
UUCCGGUUGAUCCUGCCGGACCCUACUGCUAUCGGGGUGGGACUAAGACAUGCGAGUCGUGCGUCUCUAAGCUAUGGUAGAGACGCGGCAUACGGCUCAGUAACACGUGGCUAACCUACCCUUAGGACGGAGACAACCCCGGGAAACUGGGGCUAAUACCCGAUAGGUGAGGAGGCCUGGAAUGGUUCUUCGCUGAAAAGGCGUUGAAACCAUGCUUUUCAACGUCGCCUAAGGAUGGGGCCGCGCCCGAUCAGGUUGUUGGUGGGGUAACGGCUCACCAAGCCUAUAACCGGUACGGGCCGUGAGAGCGGGAGCCCGGAGAUGGGCACUGAGACAAGGGCCCAGGCCCUACGGGGCGCAGCAGUCGCGAAAACUCCGCAAUGCGCGAAAGCGUGACGGGGCUACCCCGAGUGCCGUCCGCUGAGGAUGGCUUUUCCCCGGUGUAAUGAGCCGGGGGAAUAAGGAGAGGGCAAGUCUGGUGUCAGCCGCCGCGGUAAUACCAGCUCUCCGAGUGGUAGGGACGAUUAUUGGGCUUAAAGCGUCCGUAGCCGGCUUAGCAAGUCUCCUGUUAAAUUCAGCGACCUAAUCGUUGAGCCGCGGGAGAUACUACUAGGCUAGGAGGCGGGAGAGGCCGACGGUAUUCCCGAGGUAGGGGUGAAAUCCUAUAAUCUCGGGAGGACCACCAGUGGCGAAGGCUGUCGGCUAGAACGCGCUCGACGGUGAGGGACGAAAGCUGGGGGAGCGAACCGGAUUAGAUACCCGGGUAGUCCCAGCUGUAAACGAUGCGGGCUAGUGGUUGGGGUGGCUACGAGCCACUUCAGUGCGCAGGGAAGCCAUUAAGCCCGCGCCUGCGGAGUACGGGCGGCAAGGCUGAAACUUAAAGGAAUUGGCGAGGGAGCACAUCAGCGGGGAGCCUUGCUGAUUGAAUUGGAUGCAAACCCGGGC